GACGAACGCUGGCGGCGUGCUUAAUACAUGCAAGUCGUACGGUAAGGCCCUUUCGGGGGUACACGAGUGGUGAACGGGUGAGUAACACGUGAGUAACCUGCCCACAACUUUGGGAUAACGCUAGGAAACUGGUGCUAAUACUGGAUAUGUGCUCCUUCUGCAUGGUGGGGGUUGGAAAGCUCCGGCGGUUGUGGCUGGCCUGGCGGCCUAUCUGCUUGUUGGGGGGGUAGUGGCCUACCAUGGCGGCGACGGGUAGCCGGCCUGAGAGGGUGACCGGCCACAUUGGGACUGAGAGACGCCCCAGACUCCUACGGGAGGCAGCAGUGGGGAAUAUUGCACAAUGGGCGCAAGCCUGAUGCAGCAGCGCCGCGUGCGGGAUGACGGCCUUCGGGUUAUAAACCGCUUUCAGCAGAGACGAAGCUUUUUGUGACGGUACCUGCAGAAGAAGCACCGGCUAACUACUU
rnacentral:rRNA from 1 species